AAAAAAAAUAGAAAAACUGGAACGAAGGGAAACAGAGGCGGCGAUCACAAUUGGAGAAGAAAAGUUGGGGAGGAAAUUAGAAUCAGGACCUGAGACAAGUACUAGUGGUGGACCUAUCGUCUUACACCCACGUUAUCCAGGGGCAUAGUAGUGAGUUGUCUUUCUGAGUCGCUCUGCAGCUACUAGUAUCUCUCCUUGUAUUUUUAUUCUGUCUAUUUUUAUUUCAGGCAGUAUUUGAGACUUUGUAUAAUCUAGUAGAUGCUCAUACACUUGUGACAUCAGGACUUGGCACACAUAUUGGUAAAAUUUGGUAUAUUA